rnacentral:rRNA from 1 species
UACGUAGGGCGCAAGCGUUGUCCGGAAUUAUUGGGCGUAAAGAGCUCGUAGGCGGUUUGUCGCGUCUGUCGUGAAAUCUCACGGCUUAACUGUGAGCGUGCGGGCGAUACGGGCAGACUUGAGUACUGCAGGGGAGACUGGAAUUCCUGGUGUAGCGGUGGAAUGCGCAGAUAUCAGGAGGAACACCGGUGGCGAAGGCGGGUCUCUGGGCAGUAACUGACGCUGAGGAGCGAAAGCGUGGGGAGCGAACAGG